UACGGGGGGUCCAAGCGUUGUUCGGAAUCACUGGGCGUAAAGCGCAUGUAGGUGGCUUUUCAAGUCAACUGUGAAAGCCCAGGGCCUAACCCUGGAAGUGCAGUUGAUACUGUUGAGCUUGAGUACGAGAGAGGAUAGUGGAAUUCCUGGUGUAGUGGUGAAAUACGUAGAUAUCAGGAGGAACAUCGGUGGCGAAGGCGGCUAUCUGGCUCGAUACUGACACUGAGAUGCGAAAGCGUGGGGAUCAACAGG
rnacentral:rRNA from 1 species